AAGAUGGAGUAAUAGUAGAGUGAGUUGAGGUUUGAUGAAGAUUAGAGAUCGAGAAGUUGGAUACUCAGUGGUUCACUACGAAGAAGUCAUCUCCUAAUUCGAAGCAAAAGCGAGAUUAGAUUGAGUGUAGAAGUUCCACCAGCUGUUUGUGAGGAUUGUUACAAAAGGGUCAUGAAUGAGUUUAUGAAGCAGUCAAAGGGUGUUCUUUACGCAAUUAGCAUCACUGAUUUGUCCAGCUGAAUUAGAAGAUAAUCAAGUUCGAGUAGUGUUGAGCGAGUAGUUGAUAUGAUUGAAUGGGUGAUAUUGAGAGCUAAACUGAGAAUUUUUUUUUUUUUUUUUUUUUGAGUACUUGAAUAUAUUAGUAUUUUGUAUAAAUACUUUUAAGGAUGGUUGAUGGAUAUUUGUUUUGCAUAUAUAGAAGUUUAUAUUUUGUAUGCACAC